rnacentral:rRNA from 1 species
UACGUAGGGGGCAAGCGUUGUCCGGAUUUAUUGGGCGUAAAGAGCGUGUAGGCGGUUUGGUAGGUCCGCUGUGAAAACUCGAGGCUCAACCUCGAGACGCCGGUGGAAACCAUCAGGCUAGAGUCCGGAAGAGGAGAGUGGAAUUCCUGGUGUAGCGGUGAAAUGCGCAGAUAUCAGGAAGAACACCCGUGACUAAGGCGGCUCUCUAGUACGGUACUGACGCUGAGACGCGAAAGCGUGGGGAGCGAACAGG